UUUUCUGUGCCUAAUGUCUCUUUUGUACCUCAGUUGUCCAUGAUUCUUCUUUCAGUUGGUCAAAUAGCAUAUCACAAUUAUUUUGUUGGAUUUGAUGACUCAUCUUGUUUUAUUCAGGAUCGUCGAACCGGGGCCAUCGCCGUAGAGGUUCUUCUUGUCUUUAUAUUCUUGACACCCUGCGUCUUCCUCAGUCAUCUGCUCGUGUGUCAUCCGCUGCUUCG
rnacentral:lncRNA from 1 species